GACGAACGCUGGCGGCGUGCCUAAUACAUGCAAGUAGAACGCACAGUUUAUACCGUAGCUUGCUACACCAUAGACUGUGAGUUGCGAACGGGUGAGUAACGCGUAGGUAACCUGCCUGGUAGCGGGGGAUAACUAUUGGAAACGAUAGCUAAUACCGCAUAAUAUUAAUUAUUGCAUGAUAAUUAAUUGAAAGGUGCAAUUGCACCACUACCAGAUGGACCUGCGUUGUAUUAGCUAGUAGGUGAGGUAACGGCUCACCUAGGCGACGAUACAUAGCCGACCUGAGAGGGUGAUCGGCCACACUGGGACUGAGACACGGCCCAGACUCCUACGGGAGGCAGCAGUAGGGAAUCUUCGGCAAUGGACGAAAGUCUGACCGAGCAACGCCGCGUGAGUGAAGAAGGUUUUCGGAUCGUAAAGCUCUGUUGUAAGAGAAGAACGGGUGUGAGAGUGGAAAGUUCACACUGUGACGGUAUCUUACCAGAAAGGGACGGCUAGCUACGU
rnacentral:rRNA from 1 species